rnacentral:rRNA from 1 species
UGGGGAAUUUUGCGCAAUGGGGGCAACCCUGAUCCAGCAAUGCCGCGUGAGUGAAGAAGGCCUUCGGGUUGUAAAGCUCUUUUGUCAGGGAAGAAACACCGGCUCUAACACAGUCCGGGAAUGACGGUACCUGAAGAAUAAGCACCGGCUAACUACGUGCCAGCAGCCGCGGUAAUACGUAGGGUGCAAGCGUUGUUCGGAAUCAUUGGGCGUAAAGAGCGUGUAGGCGGCUGGAUAAGUCAGAUGUGAAAUCCCUGGGCUCAACCCAGGAAGUGCAUUUGAAACUGUUCGGCUAGAGUAGGGGAGAGGGAAGUGGAAUUCCUAGUGUAGGAGUGAAAUCCGUAGAUAUUAGGAGGAACACCGGUGGCGAAGGCGGCUACCUGGACCGAUAUUGACGCUGAGACGCGAAAGCGUGGGGAGCAAACAGG